rnacentral:rRNA from 1 species
CCUACGGGAGGCAGCAGUGAGGAAUAUUGGUCAAUGGGCGCGAGCCUGAACCAGCCAAGUAGCGUGAAGGAUGACUGCCCUACGGGUUGUAAACUUCUUUUAUAAAGGAAUAAGGUGAGGCACGUGUGCCUUUUUGUAUGUACUUUAUGAAUAAGGAUCGGCUAACUCCGUGCCAGCAGCCGCGGUAAUACGGAGGGUCCGAGCGUUAUCCGGAUUUAUUGGGUUUAAAGGGAGCGUGGACGGGUUGGUGAGUCAGUUGUGAAAGUUUGUGGCGCAACCGUAAAAUUGCAAUUGAUACUGGCAGCCUAGAGUACAGUUGAGGUAGGCAGAAUUCGUGGUGUAGCGGUGAAAUGCUGAGAUAUCACGAAGAACUCCGAUUGCGAAGGCAGCCUACUAAACUGCCACUGACAUUGAUGCUCGAAAGUGUGGGUAUCAAACAGGAUUAGAUACCCCAGUAGUC